rnacentral:rRNA from 1 species
UAUCGGAGAGUUUGAUCCUGGCUCAGGACGAACGCUGGCGGCGUGCCUAAUACAUGCAAGUCGAGCGGACUGAUGGGAGCUUGCUCCCUGAAGUCAGCGGCGGACGGGUGAGUAACACGUGGGUAACCUGCCUGUAAGACUGGGAUAACUCCGGGAAACCGGGGCUAAUACCGGAUAGUUCUUUUCCUCGCAUGAGGAAAAGUGGAAAGGCGGCUUCGGCUGCCRCUUACAGAUGGACCCGCGGCGCAUUAGCUAGUUGGUGAGGUAACGGCUCACCAAGGCAACGAUGCGUAGCCGACCUGAGAGGGUGAUCGGCCACACUGGGACUGAGACACGGCCCAGACUCCUACGGGAGGCAGCAGUAGGGAAUCUUCCGCAAUGGACGAAAGUCUGACGGAGCAACGCCGCGUGAGUGAUGAAGGUUUUCGGAUCGUAAAGCUCUGUUGUUAGGGAAGAACAAGUGCCGUUCGAAUAGGGCGGCACCUUGACGGUACCUAACCAGAA